rnacentral:rRNA from 1 species
GACGAACGCUGGCGGCGUGCUUAACACAUGCAAGUCGAACGGAAAGGCCUCUUUCGGGGGGUACUCGAGUGGCGAACGGGUGAGUAACACGUGAGUAACCUGCCCUUGACUUUGGGAUAACUUCAGGAAACUGGGGCUAAUACCGGAUAGGAGCUCCUGCUGCAUGGUGGGGGUUGGAAAGUUUCGGCGGUUGGGGAUGGACUCGCGGCUUAUCAGCUUGUUGGUGGGGUAGUGGCUUACCAAGGCUUUGACGGGUAGCCGGCCUGAGAGGGUGACCGGCGGCAGGGGGUGGGAUAGGCGGCAGAGGCGGGGACGGGAGGGAGAAGGGGGAAAGUUGGAAAAAGGGGGGCGGGUCGAGAGAAGAAGCCCCGUGGGGGGGAGGACCCUGUUGGUGGGGAAGCCCGUUUGCGCCAGUAAAGAAGCUUGGUGGGACGGUAGGGGAUAAAAAAGCCCCGGCUAACUCCGUG